rnacentral:rRNA from 1 species
CAACUUAUGGAGAGAUAUAGGGAGCAUAAGAAGGACUUGCAUAUGGUGUUCAUUGACUUGGAGAAGGCCUAUGAUAAGAUACCGCAGAAUGUCAUGUGGUGGGCCUUGGAGAAACACAAAGUCCCAGCAAAGUACAUUACCGUCAUCAAGGACAUGUACAAUAAUGUUGUGACAAGUGUUCGAACAAGUGAUGUCGACACCGAUAACUUCCCGAUUAAGAUAGGACUGCAUCAGGGGUCAGCUUUGAGCCCUUAUCUUUUUGCAUUGGUGAUGGAUGAGGUCACAAGGGGUAUACAAGGAGAUAUCCCAUGGUGUAUGCUCUUUGCGGAUGAUGUGGUGCUAGUUGACGAUAGUCGGACG